rnacentral:rRNA from 1 species
CGACGAUCAGUAGGGGUUCUGAGAGGAAGGUCCCCCACAUUGGAACUGAGACACGGUCCAAACUCNUACGGGAGGCAGCAGUGAGGAAUAUUGGUCAAUGGGCGAGAGCCUGAACCAGCCAAGUAGCGUGCAGGAUGACGGCCCUAUGGGUUGUAAACUGCUUUUAUAAGGGAAUAAAGUUAGUCUCGUGAGACUUUUUGCAUGUACCUUAUGAAUAAGGACCGGCUAAUUCCGUGCCAGCAGCCGCGGUAAUACGGAAGGUCCGGGCGUUAUCCGGAUUUAUUGGGUUUAAAGGGAGCGUAGGCCGGAGAUUAAGCGUGUUGUGAAAUGUAGACGCUCAACGUCUGCACUGCAGCGCGAACUGGUUUCCUUGAGUACGCACAAAGUGGGCGGAAUUCGUGGUGUAGCGGUGAAAUGCUUAGA